rnacentral:rRNA from 1 species
GACGUAGGGGGCCAGCGUUGCUCGGAAUUACUGGGCGUAAAGGGUUCGUAGGCGGUGCGGCAAGUCGGUAGUGAAAUCUCCAGGCUUAACUUGGAGGCUGCUGCCGAAACUGCUGUGCUAGAGUGCAGGAGAGGCGAGUGGAAUUACAGGUGUAGCGGUGAAAUGCGUAGAUAUCUGUAGGAACACCCGUGGCGAAGGCGGCUCGCUGGACUGCAACUGACGCUGAGGAACGAAAGCUAGGGGAGCAAACAGG